CUGAGCCAUAGUCCAUCCUCCUUCCUGGCGCUGCACACACCUGCUGCUUGUCACGCACCUUCUUCAGACAGCAUCAAACACACGUUGACGUGCUUGUGUGCAGGUUUCUAAAGGCAUUCAAGAGGAUGUGAAGCUCAUCUCAGAUCCUUAAAGAUGAAUAAGCUUCAUCCUGGUUCAGGACAUGUGGCAUAAAGAAGGGAGAGAGGAAAGGAUUCCUGUUGGAAGUCACAGCAUGAAAACGUCAUAAAGUCCUAAGUCAGCUUUGGUUAUUAAUCAUUAUUUCCCAAUUGAUUCCACAACGGGCUCACCUUGGACAUAAUGAAGUUAAGGCUAACUCCUUAGCUCAGCGUCUGAAGUCUUCCACCUUCGGGCUGCAGCUCAGCUUUCUAAGUUUAUCUCAUGAUUCUCCAGCAAUAUGUGUUCUGUUCCUGUGAUGAAUUACGUUUAUUGAUUUGCAUAUGUUGAACCAGCCUCGCAUCCUGGCAAUGACACCAACUUGAUCGUGGUGGGAACUAAACAUAAAAUGAAGCAUGAUAAAUGAGUUAAUUUUAGCACCACUGAAAGAAAAUCUGCGAACAGGCCUUCCGCUGGAAUUUGCAAGCUGUCCAGAGACUCAAGAAUUCCAAAAGUUACGUCUGACAGAUUCUGCCAAUGCAGUUGCUGUCUUGUGGGGAGACAGAUUCCCAGAGCUUCCUACUUUACCACACCGCAGAUUCUGCAUACUACAAAUAUACAUGGUCCUUGAUGGUGGUCUUCAGCCAUCUCACCCCUGUGCCUGCUGUAACAAGAGUGGUCUGGGAAGCUGCAGCAGUGGGAGGUGUCAGGCUCCUAGCCAGGUCAUGAGCCCCUUUUGCUGGUCUGGGAUCCUAAAAGAAAGCCCCCCAGUGACGGGCUUUUUGGAAGGCUUUGGAUAUUAUCUGCGUUGAUCACCUCACCUGGAGUGCAUCCAUCCUCAGGCAUCCUCAGGCAUCCUCAGGCAUCCUCACGCAACCUCACGCAACCUCACGCACCCUCACGCAACCUCACGCAACCUCAUGCAUCCUCACGCAACCUCACGCAUCCUCACGCAACCUCACGCAUCCUCACGCAUCCUCACGCAUCCUCACUCAACCUCACGCAUCCUCACACAACCUCACGCAACCUUACGCAUCCUCACGCAACCUCACGCAUCCUCACGCAUCCUCACGCAUUCUCAUGCAUCACGCAACCUCACGCAUCCUCACGCAUCACGUCCCUGGCCGGGCAGGCCACAUCAGCUUCCCCAAGCCGUAUCAGAAUCCUGGCACUUUUUUUUUUUGGCUCCGUAUUUUCCCAGUCCUUCAGAAUUACUACUCGAAGCAAGUGACCAGUUUUGUGGAAGGAGGGAUGUUUGCCAUUCUUGUUUCACCAUUUUACCUUCCUUGCUUCAAGGCAGAAAGAAAAGAAAACAAAGAUUUAAGAAGUAAUGCAACGAUGGAUUGGUGAUUGUUUUCUCUCCAACGUUGAAGGACCACUUCUGAGCUACCCGGCAACAUUCCUCCGCUGCAGGCUUCCUCUGGCUUCCUGGCUGGUGUCUGGUUUAUAUCACCAUGUUUUCCUAAACAUGGAAUGCAUGCUGUGCUUGGAUAUAAAAUCUUCUUUUGAUGGUAUUUCAAACUUUAUUCUUCCCAGUGGUCUACGACAUCGUAAGCCCCGGGAGCUGAAUGGUAGGAUUGCGGGGGGCGUGGGGAGGCUGAGCCCUCUGGAAGCAGAAUUCUGUGAAACAGAUUCUGAGGGAUGCACGCCGGGCAGACACGUUCAGGUUUGUGGACCUUAGUCAAUCUCCUUUUUCUAGAUCAAAUCCACUUCUAUUCUCUCAUCUGUCAAAAUCCUUUUGACUCCUCCAAGUAAACUGUUUUCCUAAUAAAAACAAAUACUUCUUCUUUCUCAACACUUACUCGUGCCUCUAGGAGGUCGUGAUUAUGGUCUACUGUCUUCGUUUUUAAAAUGUCUCUCUCUCUCGAUUGCUGCAUCCUGGAGGAAUCAGUUCUGAUUAAUCCCGAUGCAACUCUUCUCCUGUCCCUCUGAACUAUGCUGCAGCCCCAGUUACGUAAGGCACCUGUGCCCACUCCAGACCUCUGCUUCAAAUCUUAGAAUUUCUCUCUAUUGCCCAAAGGAGAAUGCCUAACUUCCUCACACGGUGUAGCAAACCACUCGUGAUCUCAUCCUUGCCAGUAUUUUUAGCAGCACUUCCUGUGCUAUUUCUUGAAAUAUACUCUGAGUCACGAACAAUUACUUGCCAUUUAACAAUACACUAUAUACAUCUUGACAAUACGCUGUAUACAUCUUCAGUCUCUUCCUGAAAUAUUUUUCUAUUUUCCAAACUCUCCCUCCCUCACUGUCUUUUUUCCUUCCUUUUUUUCACCUUACCUUCCUUCCAUUUUUUUCUCACAUACAAUCUUCUUAAACAUCUGUUCUCCCACAGAUACUCUCCGAUGAUGGGGAUACACACAUGGGUUUUAUGUUUCUGCUUUUUCCAGAUACAUUAAAUCGUUUAUGCUUCCAAGAUGUCUCCUUGUCAUGUUACACUUUUGUUUUUUUUUGUUUUUUUUUUUUUUUGAGACAGAGUUUCGCUCUUGUUACCCAGGCUGGAGUGCAAUGGCGCGAUCUCGGCUCACCGCAACCUCCGCCUCCUGGGUUCAGGCAAUUCUCCUGCCUCAGCCUCCUGAGUAGAUGGGAUUACAGGCACGCGCCACCAUGCCCAGCUAAUUUUUUGUAUUUUUAGUAGAGACGGGGUUUCACCAUGUUGACCUGGAUGGUCUCAAUCUCUUGACCUUGUGAUCCACCUGCCUCGGCCUCCCAAAGUGCUGGGAUUACAGGCGUGAGCCACCGCGCCCGGCCCCAUGUUACACUUAUUACUAUAUUGGUUAAUUGUCACAUAGCUUCUGUUUUGUUCAUUUUUUUCUUAAUUCCUCUGGGAGCCAUGCUUAUAAUUCCUUCACUUAGGACACAGUACUUGUGUACUAGAAAUAUAACUUGUUUUUUAUUCAUCUCUUCAAAGCCCUUUCCUCUGGGAAUGUUAAAAAAAUAUUAAUUGAAUAAAACAUGCUGUGUAAAGAAAGUGAUACCUUUUUGAAGUAGUGCGGAUCACGAGAGCAAAUACUGAGUCGCAUUUCUGUCUCUUGACAGCUGUGGCAGUAUCACCUUGUCAUUCAUUUCCUUCACCCUCAUUUUUCUCCAGUGGAAAAUUAGGGGAUUGCUUUAGUUUUCCCCUGACAUCCCUUUCUCCUACAAUUCUACCAAGUGAUUUGAUAUUGUGUGGGGGUUAACUCUGGUAUUCCAUCUCUUCAUUUUGAAAUCUAAAGAGUUCUGGAAAUAUUUUCUAAAUAGAAAAGAAAUAUGUAAUCAUUAUGUAGUUUCACUGUCUAGUCAUCUUCAAGAGAAAAUGUUCUUAAAUUCAUGUCUAGUGCCAUUGAGACUGACUUAAUCCUUAUUUUAUUCAAUAAGCAACAGUUUUUUAUGGAAAAAUGUUUUUUCUAAAAGAAAAAAUUAAUAGUCUUUGAGGAGAUGUAUUGUAUUGCUUAAUUUUGCUUUUGUUCCAGUUUAAAAUUAAAAUGUAAAAAUAGAGGUGAGGAAAUUGAAACUUUUUCUUAAAUAAUUCUGCUAUGAGUGUAUGAAAGUUUGAUACAAAGCUUUUCUUCAAUUAAUUAUUCUAGUUUCAAUGACUGGAAAAAGUGAUGUAAAAGGAAUAACAAGCACUAGCCCUGGCUUCCGGAACCUCCCAGGCAUACGUUUUCUACAGUGUUCCUGUCUUAUGUGAUACGGUUCUGUUCUGUGUCCCCACCCAGAUCUCAUCUUGAAUUAUAAUCCCCACGUGUGAGGGAGGGACUUGGUAGAGGGUGACUGAAUCAUGGGGGCAGUUCCCCUGUGCUGUUCUUAUGAUAGUGAGUGAGUUCUCACAAGAGCUGAGAGCUGAUGGUUUAAAGGUAUGUGGCAGUCUCCCUCGCUCCUUCUCUCUUCUACCUGCUACCUUGAAGAAGAAGGUGCUUGCUUCUCUUUCACCUUCUGCCAUGAUUAUAAGUUUCCGGAGGCCUCCCCAGCCAUGAAGAACUGUGGGUCAAUCCCAUUCUCAGGUAAUUCUUGAUAUCAGUGUGAAAACCGAAUAAUACAUUAUGGAUCUUAUCCUUAAUAAAGUUAUUUUUUUCAUGUUUCUUGAGAAGGAGAAACUUGAGAGUCCUAAUGAAGACACCACCUCUCCCCCUAAU